rnacentral:rRNA from 1 species
UGCCAGCCGCCGCGGUAAUACGGAGGGUGCAAGCGUUGUUCGGAAUUAUUGGGCGUAAAGCGCGUGUAGGCGGUUUGGUUAGUCUGAUGUGAAAUCCCCCGGCUCAACCGGGGAACUGCAUCGGAUACUGCCUGACUAGAGUGCAGGAGGGGAGAGUGGAAUUCCUGGUGGAGCGGUGAAAUGCGUAGAUAUCAGGAGGAACGCCGGUGGCGAAAGCGACUCUCUGGUCUGCUACUGACGCUGAGGUGCGAAAGCCAGGGGAGCAAACGGGAUUAGAUA